GAGGGGGGCUGCUCCUAGUACGAGAGGACCGGAGUGGACGCAUCACUGGUGUUCGGGUUGUCAUGCCAAUGGCACUGCCCGGUAGCUAAAUGCGGAAGAGAUAAGUGCUGAAAGCAUCUAAGCACGAAACUUGCCCCGAGAUGAGUUCUCCCUGACUCCUUGAGAGUCCUGAAGGAACGUUGAAGACGACGACGUUGAUAGGCCGGGGGUGUAAGCGCAGCGAUGCGUUGAGCUAACCGGUACUAAUGAACCGUGAGGCUUAACCUUACAACGCCGAAGGUGUUU
rnacentral:rRNA from 1 species